rnacentral:rRNA from 1 species
AACGAACGCUGGCGGCAGGCUUAACACAUGCAAGUCGAACGCCCCGCAAGGGGAGUGGCAGACGGGUGAGUAACGCGUGGGAAUCUACCGUACCCUACGGAAUAACGCAUGGAAACGUGUGCUAAUACCGUAUACGCCCUUAGGGGGAAAGAUUUAUCGGGGUAUGAUGAGCCCGCGUUGGAUUAGCUAGUUGGUGGGGUAAAGGCCUACCAAGGCGACGAUCCAUAGCUGGUCUGAGAGGAUGAUCAGCCACAUUGGGACUGAGACACGGCCCAAACUCCUACGGGAGGCAGCAGUGGGGAAUAUUGGACGAUGGGCGCAAGCCUGAUCCAGCCAUGCCGCGUGAGUGAUGAAGGUCUUAGGAUUGUAAAGCUCUUUCACCGAUGAAGAUAAUGACGGUAGUCGGAGAAGAAGCCCCGGCUAACUUCGUGCCAGCCGCCGCCGUAACAC